CAAUAGCGUAUAUUUAAGUUGUUGCAGUUAAAAAGCUCGUAGUUGGAUUUUGGGUUGGGGCGACCGGUCCGCCGUUUCGGUGUGCACUGGUGUCCCCUUCCUUUCUGCCGGGGACGGCGUUUGCUCUUAAUUGGGCGGCGUCGGAGUCGGCGUUGUUACUUUGAAAAAAUUAGAGUGUUCAAAGCAAGCCAUCGCUCUGAAUACAUUAGCAUGGAAUAACAUGAUAGGACUCUGGUCUUAUUUUGUUGGUUUCCGAGACUGGAGUAAUGAUUAAGAGGGACAGUCGGGGGCAUCCGUAUUUCAUUGUCAGAGGUGAAAUUCUUGGAUUUAUGAAAGACGAACUUCUGCGAAAGCAUUUGCCAAGGAUGUUUNCAUUAA
rnacentral:rRNA from 1 species